rnacentral:sRNA from 1 species
AUGUUAGUUGACUCUGAGAGAUUAGCAUUUAUUAUUCCAGAUGAGAAAAUUCAGAAGUUUAUCGCCUUAAGAGAAAGUAUCUUAGAUUGUGAUAAGACAAGUGUUCUUACUUUACAAAAGUUUGCUGGCAAAUGUGUAUCUUUUAUGUUAGCGUUUCCUGGGGCUAAGUUGUAUACAAAGGAAGUAAACAGAGCAAUAGGUUUAGCAGCUAAAAGGAGUGGUUUUGUGGAUAUGACAGAUGAUUUGAGACAAGAAAUGUUGUAUUGGAGAUUUAUAGAUCAUUGGAGUGGUUGUUUUUCUUGGAGGAAUGAAAAGCAUUUACAAAUUACAGUAGCCUCAGAUGCAUCCAAGUUUAAGUGGGGGGCCCUAGUAGAUGUUAAGGGUCAACAGAUAGUGUGUUCAGAUUACUGGAGGAAUGAGGAUGAUAGGCCAAUUCAUGUUAAAGAGGCUCAAGCUUUGUUCAAUGCUCUAUGUUCAGUCAAAGAUGUGGUAAAAAACCACAGGGUAGACGCUUAUGUAGACAAUUUGGCUUGUGUCUAUGGUUGGGAGAGCAUGAGUGGGAAAGACCCUGCUUUGAACAGAAUUAUGAAGAGUUUGUGGAAUUUCAGUGUGGAUAAUAAUAUGGAUUUGCAUUUCUUGUAUGUGAAAUCUGAAGAUAACCCAGCAGAUUGUCAUUCUAGAAGAUUGUCAGCAUUGGAUUGUAUGUUAACUAGGGAGAAGUUUGAGACUAUUGAAAAGAGGUUUGGUCCACAUUCAGUUGUUCUAAUGUCCCUUGAUUCAAAUUGUAUGAUUAGCCAAGUAAAUGGGAAACCUUUAAGGCAUUUCACACCAUACCCGACCCCAUUGUCUGCUGUUGUGAAUGUAUUUUCUCAGGAUAUAACAUUGGAGAAGAAUCCAUAUGUAUUUCCUCCAUUUAGGCUUAUUUUCCGCUUAUUGUCUAUCUUAAAAACCAGGGUGUUGAGGCUUGUACAAUGGUUAUUCCAAAAUUAUUGCCAAUCCCAGUUUGGUGGCCUUUGGUCAGUCAGUAUGCAAUGGAUAGGUUUGUACUUGGUAGUUCUGGUCAGUGAAGUUGAUUCUCAAUCCUUGUGUAGUGGUGUUGUGAAGAAGAAAUGUUUGAUGCAAUAUUCUGCAGAAAGGCGCAUUGCUUACCUGAACAAUUUACUAGAUUCUAAGGCAUACUGUAAGAAAAAAUUAGCGUUAAAGUUGGAUUUUGAAAAUGUUAUAGGAAAAAAAAAUUUCAAAGCCACUUCAGAAGAUUUAAGAUUAUUUCUUCUGGGAAAGGACAGAGUGGGUAAGACUCAAGUUCAUGAUUUAUCUUGUCCUUUUCUUGGUGUUGCAAGUGCUAGUUCAUGUUCUUGUCCAGUGCGUCUAGCAGCUGGAACAGUCUCUUCUUACAUUGCGCAAUUUAAAGCAAUGUUUAUUGAGAUAGGUAGAGUUGAACCUUGGGAUAAUGCAAGACAUUUGGAAAGAUGUAAUCCAGCAGAUAGUAUUCUCUUAAGGAGUGAACUUUUUGGCAUUAGUGGAGGUGCAGUGACAAAUCCACGCCACUUGCGGACAAUUUUGGCCGUCAUCGACGAACAUCGUCCCACAUGUCUUAUUGUGCACAUGGGUGGUAAUGAUUUGGACAGUCGGGAUAAUGCAAUUGACACUGUUGUGUUUGGUUUGACUGCAUUUUUGACCCAGAUUCGAGUUCAAUUCCACAUUCUUCAUAUCACAGUGAUGCGAUUUAUGCCCCGCGAAAGGACAAGAAACAUUGACCCUGAAACUUAUAAUGAGCGAGUUGUCUUAGCGAACACAAAGUUAAAAUUUCAGUGCCAACAAGUGGGACUGGUGUAUUGGAGACUGAAAGGGUUUUCUAACAGCAGGGAGCAGAUUUUUGCAGAUGCAUCCAAUUUCUUUUUUGCCAUUAUUAAUUGUGUCUGCAAAAUUACAGUGAUAAACCACCCAUCCUCAGGAUUAUGGCUUCCCGUUCGAAGAGAAGGAAAACAGUAAG